rnacentral:rRNA from 1 species
UGGGGAAUAUUGCACAAUGGGCGCAAGCCUGAUGCAGCCAUGCCGCGUGUGUGAAGAAGGCCUUCGGGUUGUAAAGCACUUUCAGCGGGGAGGAAGGCGUUAAGGUUAAUAACCUUGGCGAUUGACGUUACCCGCAGAAGAAGCACCGGCUAACUCCGUGCCAGCAGCCGCGGUAAUACGGAGGGUGCAAGCGUUAAUCGGAAUUACUGGGCGUAAAGCGCACGCAGGCGGUCUGGCAAGUCGGAUGUGAAAUCCCCGGGCUCAACCUGGGAACUGCAUUCGAAACUGGCAAGCUAGAGUCUUGUAGAGGGGGGUAGAAUUCCAGGUGUAGCGGUGAAAUGCGUAGAGAUCUGGAGGAAUACCGGUGGCGAAGGCGACCCCCUGGACAAAGACUGACGCUCAGGUGCGAAAGCGAGGGGAGCAAACAGG